rnacentral:tRNA from 1 species
UGGUCGAUUCAUCUAACGGUUAGGAUACAAGAUUCUCAAUCUUGGCAUAGGGGUUCGAUUCCCCUAUCGACUACCC